rnacentral:rRNA from 1 species
CCUACGGGCGGCAGCAGUGGGGAAUCUUGCACAAUGGGGGAAACCCUGAUGCAGCGACGCCGCGUGAGUGAAGAAGUAAUUCGUUAUGUAACGCUCUAUCAGCAGGGAAGAAAAUGACGGUACCUGAGUAAGAAGCCCAGGCUAACUACGUGCCAGCAGCCGCGGUAAUACGUAGGGGGCAAGCGUGAUCCGGAUUUACUGGGUGUAAAGGGAGCGUAGACGGCAGUGCAAGUCUGGAGUGAAAGGCGGGGGCUCAACCCCCGGACUGCGCUGGAAACUGUACGGCUGGAGGGCAGGAGAGGUAAGUGGAAUUCCUAGUGUAGCGGUGAAAUGCGUAGAUAUUGCGCAGAACUCCGAUGGCGAAGGCAGCAUACCGGCGGCGAUCUGACGCUGAGGCACGAAAGCGUGGGUAUCGAACAGGAUUAGAUACCCGAGUAGUC